GACGAACGCUGGCGGCGUGCUUAACACAUGCAGGUCGAACGGAACGGCCCUGCUUUUGUGGGGUGCUCGAGUGGCCAACGGGUGAGUAACACGUGAGUAACCUGCCCUUGACUUUGGGAUAUCCUCAGGCAACUGGGUCUAAUACCGGAUAGGAGCUCCUGCCGCAUGGUGGGGGUUGGAAAGAUUCGGUGGUUGGGGAUGGACUCGCGGCUUAUCAGCUUGUUGGUGUGGUAGUGGCUUACCAAGACAUUGACGGGUAGCCGGCCUGAGAGGGUGACCGGCCACACUAGGACUGAGAUACGGCCCAGACUCCUACGGGAGGCAGCAGUGGGGUAUAUUGCACAAUGGGCUGAAGCCUGAUGCAGCAACGCCGCGUGCGGGAUGACGGCCUUCGGGUUGUAUACCGCUUUCGCCUGUGACGAAGCGUGAGUGACGGUAAUGGGUAAAUAAGCACCGGCUAACUACGUG
rnacentral:rRNA from 1 species